rnacentral:lncRNA from 1 species
AGAGUGGUGUGAAGAGCUCCAGGCUUUGGAGGGAGAAAAUACUAGGUUCAAAACCAUCCUAAGUUAGUUAAGAUAGUGGGCAAGUUCUUUCUAUAUCUAAAUUUUAGUUAAAUGAAAAGAAUAAUAACUAUCUUAUAGAGUUAUGGUAGAUUAAAUAGCAUAAUUAUGUAUCACAGCUCCCUACUACAUAGUAAGUAAUAAAUGGUAGCUGCAGCUAUUAUGUGGAGGAAAAAAGAAAGUAAACAUGGUUAUUUGUCCACUUCUGCAUUUGGUACUAAGGGAAUUCCACAGAAGAUUGAAGGUGAAGCUUUAUAAAAACGAAUAAUCUAAUACCUCAAAGUGCAUCAAUUUUAGUGAACCCCAGGAAAGUGAAAGGGUGCAUUUUCUUCAAAGGCUACCAGAAAAUAUUGGACUGAGGAGUUUCACUGGGCACAGCUUUAAAACUCCUCCAUUUUUCCCCCUGGGAGAUGUGCUCAGGUGUGCUAAUGUUCUUCUGCCCAUUCAGGGUGAAGUCUUGCCAGUUGCAGAAAGUACUAAGUGGCAGCUUUUUAAGGCUCCUAUAUUCCUCAAAAUACCUCUCUGCAACUGCAAUAUAACUGAUGUACACGUUUUUAAAAACUGUUACCUGGAACUAACAUCUGGGUCUGGAAAUAAAUUCAUAUCAUGCUGCCAAUCCACCUUACUUCACUAUGUUCAGGAUAAGUUUUAGUGGCCAGGCAUCAAACAUGGCAAUCUGCCGGCAGCUCUGCAAUGAUGCCCAGUCUGUAGGUGUGUGCCAUCAACCAGCUCCUCCUUACAGCAUUGGAGAAGGCCAGAGUGUGGCAGGUCUGCCUGAUGAUUGCCUAGCCACCUCAGCUCUGUGGGCAGCUGAGGUAUUAUGUUCUAUGUUAUGUUCCUAGUAGAAAGGAACCCCAGACGUGGGGGAUCAGAGCUCUUUCCAGCCAUGUGAGUUUGGAUGACAUCAAAUAGCAUCUAACAGCAUCAUUUCCUUGCUUAUCAAGGGCAGAUAAAAGCAUUUGUCCUCAUCAACCUUUCAGGCUACAUGGAUAGACCAAAAUAGAAACAUAAAAUUUGUGCAAGUUUGGUAUAAAUUAUGAAGUAUAAAGAAUUAUAGCAAUAUGCUAUAACGGAAAAAAUAAAAAUCAUUAUGUAAAAACAGAAUUAUAACAAUAUAAGCAAUACUGCCAUUAUUUCUUCUAGUAGGUGCUUAAAAUAUGUCCUAUAAGUGUUUGAAGAAACAUGUAAUUUUACAUUGAAAGAGGAUCAGACAAAAGUGAGGGUGGAAUCUGGUUAUUUGGGUCUUCUUUAAAGACGUGUUAAACUCAUUGGCAUGUUGGAUUCAGACUUUGAACAUUUGUAUCCAAAAGGCUAAUAUUGUGUCCCUAGAAAGUCCUGAUCAGAAGAAUAGGAGUGAUUUUGCCUCUCUGUGCUUCCUAGAAAAUUUGUGAUUGCCAAUAUUUUCUCACUACACUUCAUUUUUGCUUCAGCGAGCAUGGUUGGUUACUCCAACUUGCCAUCAGGAACUCUGCCUGAUACACAUGGUAUAAUGGACAGAACUUUGGGCUCAGGCAGAGCUGGAUUAAAAUGUCAGGACCAACAUUACUAAACUAGCCACUUAACCUCUUUGAGCCUCAGUUUCCAAUCUAUAAAAUGGGAAUGUGAGUCUCCUCCUCACUUGGAUUGUGUAGAUUAAAUUACACAAUUUAAUUUAAAGAAUGUGUGAGAAUACUGAGUAGGGCGGUUGAUGCCUAGAGGGGUUUAAUAUAUUGCAGUCGCCUUUAUUCUUUGCAUCAUUGGCUCUUUACCUUUCAGGAUCAUUCACACUUUUGAAAAUCUAAUGAAAGCAUUGGGUCUCUGAUGCAAAAAUAAUGUGCAUAUACAUAUCCAUACAACCUCUUUCAUAUAGUUUCAGAAGUUCACUGGGUCCACUGAAGUUUAAUAAGGCCUCGCCAAAACCAAAUAACAACUCCUACUGCAAGUGGUCACUUACAACAUAUAUGUACAUAUUUCUAUCUUGAGUGUUAAAUACCUGCUUUACCUCUGAGCUCUUCUACUACUGCUACUACCAUCACAACUCAACAAAUGCUUUUACUUUAACAAAGAAUAACGACUUUUAUAUUCAUCAUAUUACAUAAUCUUCAAAAAAAUCCUCUGAAGUAUAUGUUGUCAUCUUAUUUUACAGAUUAGAAGAAAAAAUUAUUUUGUAUUUCUCCAAAAUAAAUAAGCCUCAUGAGGCGACAGCCUGUAUUAUUUUAGUUACCACUGUUUUGUCAAUGAUUUAUGCAGUGCUUGGAACAUGGUAGGCACUCAGGUGCUCAUUUGAAAUAAAUGAAGGGAAAAUGAGAAAAGAGGAUUCUUCUUUCCUGAAUAAUAAAACAAUAAUUUCAGGCUAAAUCAGCAAAAAGCCAACACUCUAUCCUAACUUCCUCCUGGGCUUAGGACUUAGCCCAGUACCAUCAGAGUUAUAAUGAACUCUUGGUAACACUUUGGUUGAUGGUUGGGCGGAUAAAUGAGAUGAAUGAAUAAAACCUCCCUUCUGAAAAAUGGAACCCUAAAUUUCAGCCAAAAAAAUUGUUUCCUUUAUCUAUUACUGCUCAAAACUUAGUGGCUUAAAGCAAACAUUUUGUUUUGCUCUCACUUUUACGGCUUUAGGAAGGGCUCAGCUGGCUGGUUUAUCUCUAAGCCACAUGGCAUAAGCUGAGGUAAAUGGGGCUAGAAGAGCAUUUCUAAGCUGAGUUCUUUACCCACCUACCUGUGCCUUGGCAGGAAGUGGUCUCUACUAGGCUCCUCUGCCUCCCCACACAGUCAGAGUCUUUCCACUUUGGCUCCUUAGCAGGGUUGUUAUUUUUCUUACACAGCAGCACUGUGCUCCGAAAUAAGGAAGUAAAACCUGUAGUUCACUUAAGCACUAUGUCUGGAAUUGAAACAACACAAUCUCCACUGGACUCCAUUGGUCAAAGUAGUCACAGGCUGGCCUGUGGUUUAAGGGAUGGGGAAAUAGAUCUCAUCUGUUCACAGGAAGGAUAACAAAGAAUGGGAAGCCACUGUUAAUCUGCUAUAGUUUCCUUAACCAAGACAAAAAGUUCACAAACAUUAAACUAUGGAGUUGCUCUUGUUGCCACCUUCAAUCAGACUUUUGUCAUGGAAUAGCUUUCAUUUCCCAAAUAUCAGUAAAUAAUACUAUAAACCCUUCGACUAAAAUUCAGUGAAGCUUGGAUGCAUAUCUGAAUUAAUUUCCAUGCUUCAGUGAACGUGUCUCAGGGGUAACAUAGGAGUGUCUAUGUUCUAGUUAUUUAAGGUAAUUCAAAUUUUUCCAAAUCUGGUGGGAUCAAGCAGCCCAAAAUAGCAUUACAGCUAAAAAUUUACUCUACAGUAAAGUGUCAUUACAAAUCAACCCUGCACUACCCACCUCCUGGGCAUGCAAAAAAUUCAGCACUGCCACUUUCAGGAUAUUUUAGCAUCUCAACAGGGAGUAUGGCUAAGUAAGAGCUAAAAUAGCACAAUGAUCCCAGAAACCAUAUAGAAGAAAGAAAAUACAAAUAGCACAAACAAGCGCAGGGCAUCUCAGGCAAUCCCAAAGAGAACUAAAGUUUAUUUCUCAACACUACUUUCUAGAGGCUCCAUAUUUUAAGAGUUUUACUUUAGCCCACCCCCACUCCCACAAAUACAAAUUAUUUCCACAGCCACAGGAUUAUUUCUUAUUGUGUCAUGAUGUUAAUCUACCUGUCACAAACAUUUAUAUCAUACAUUUCUUUUCAAUGGCCCAGGGCUUUUCUAUCUAUUAACUGAUCAAAAAGAGGAACUGGUUGUUUUGUCAAAUGCUAAUGGCACUUGGAUUAUUUUGGCUCACUGGAACUUUCAAGGUAAUAGCUGAGGAUAUUGGAAGAAAACAUUUGUUCAAUUUAAGACUUGCCUUAACUAAGGUCAACUUAGACACAAAUGUGGAAAUGAGAGCAAAGAAGAGAACAAACAAGAAAGUUUAAAAGAAGCUACAAAUGAUAAUCUCUGAGAAGGCCUCUGGGAGAACUGCUUUGUUUCUGAUGGGGCACAAUGGUCCUAGACUCAGUAUCACAAUCUCUCAUUCUUGAAACAUCCACUAGAAUGCAAGAUCCAUGGGGAGCAAGAUUUUGGUCUUUUGCUCAUUAAUGUAUCCUAGACACUAAGAACAACACCUGGCACAUAAUGAGCACUCAAUAAAUGUUUGUUCAUUUUUAACAAAUGAAGCUCAUGAGGAUUGGCUGAAAGGGAUCCAAGAUGCUAAUUGAAUGUGGGUGUACUUACUGGAGAUGUAUUCAUGCAGCAGGAACUCGGUCCAUGGCAUAGGUGAAUGGAACCAAAAUACGUGUCGACACUGAGGCAAGUCUCAGGGCCCUUGCCCGUUGGAUAGUGUGUAAUGAGGGUCUCCUCGGUGUUAGAGCAACCAUCCAGAGGUAAAAAAGUCAGGACCCAGGUAGAAACCCUAUUCUGUGAUAAAACUGAGGAAAUGGGACAAGUAUGAGAUUGUUUCAACCCUACCAUCAAUUGGACACUAGGAUCCCAAGGCUGAUGAGCAGAAAGAAGUAUGGGGUCAGAGAGAAGGAAAUACUACAUGAUCUGAAAUGUGAUCAGUGACAUAAUCCUAGAUUCUCUCUACUCAAAGAAAAAGAGUAAUGUGAGAAUAUCACCAUUCAUCCUCUAUUUACAUUAAUUGACUUAGGAACUGAGGGCCAUGGCUGAGUCAACUUGAAGGCAUAGGCCAGUGUAGGUAUGAGGAAAAAAGCAGAGACAGACAUAAUCCAUCUUAACCCAUAAAGCAAGAUAUUUUUAUAGUCUCUGGCCUCCUGAUAUUCUGAAUCUGAAGAAUUUUUCAACAUGAAACCAUAUAAUAUUCAAUCUCUAAACUUUUUUUAUGCAUCAAGAAGAACUGAUUUGAAAAAUUAUUCAUGGGAGUUCCCGUUAUGGCUCAGCAGAAACGGCUCUGACUAGCAUCCAUGAAGAUACAGGUUCGAUCCCUGGCCUUGCUCAGUGGGUUAAGGAUCUGGCAUUGCCAUGAGCUGCAGUGUAGGUCAUAGAUCUGGCUCGGAUUUGGUGUUGCUGUGGCUGUGGUAUAGGCUACAGCUCUGAUUUGACCCCUAGCCUGGGAACCUCCAUAUGCCAUGGGUGUGGCC